AAGGAUCAUUACCAAUUAAUCCAAAUCUCAACCCAUGUGCACUAUGGUUGUUUGUCCUUUGGGGUGGUGGAUGUUUGUUAUUAUAGCAAACGCAAGCUACCCCGCCAUUGUUAACUAAAACCUUUUUUGUUUGACCAUGGCAUUUUGUUUUUGCAAAUAAUAAUUAUGCAUGACAACUUUUAACGGUGGAUCUCUUGGCUCGU
rnacentral:misc_RNA from 1 species